rnacentral:lncRNA from 1 species
AAAUGUCAGGUCCCUGGAGAAGACAAUGUUGGUGGUGCAGAGGAAAGGUGGAUUGGGAAGAGCAGGAUUUGGGGAGGAAUGUCAGGUUCAAGGCCCUGGAGAAGAUAUCAUUGGUGGCACGGGGAGGAAAAGAUGGGAUGGGAAGAGCAGGAUUUGGGAAGGAAUGUCAAGGCCCUGGAGAAGAUAUCAUUGGUGGCACGGGGAGAAGGUGGGAUGGGAAGAGCAGGAUUUGGGGAGGAAUGUCAGGUCCUUGGUGGUGGUGCAAGGAAAAGAUGGGAUGGGAAGAGAAGGGUUUGGGAAAGAACAUCAAAACCCUGGAGAAGAUACCAUUGGUGACGUGAAAAGAAGGUGGGAUGGGAAGAGUGGGGUUUGGGGAGGAAUGUCAGGUCCUUGGAGAAGAUACCAUUGGUGGUGCAGGGGAAAGGUGGGAUGGGAAGAGCAGGGUUUGAAAAGGAACAUCAGGGCCUUGGAGAAGAGAAUUUUGGGGUGUAAAUGGCCUGGAAAGUCCAAGGAAAGGUUGGAGAAGAGAAAUUCCAGGGAAACCUCAGAGUCUAAAGGGGCUCCAGGAGAGCUGGAGAGGAUUUGGGAUGAGGGAUGGAAUUCCAGGACUCAGGGAGUGGUUUGAAACUGGGAAAAGGGAAUUUGGGUGGGAUUUUGGGAAAGAAUUCCUGGCUGGGAUGGAAUUCCCAGAGGGGCUGUGGCUGCUCCUGGAUCCCUGGGAAUGUCCAAGGCCAGGCUGGAGCAGCCUGGGAUAGUGGAAGGUAUCCCUGCCCAUGGCAGGGGUUGGAAUGAGAUGAUCUUUAAGGUCCCUUCCAACCCAAACCAUUCUGGGAUUCCAUAAAUCAGGGGAGCUGGCUGGGAGGGGCUUGUUUAGCUGGGAUGCCUGACUUUGGAGACUCCUCUCUGCAAAGCACCAAAAUUAGGGAAUCCCUUCAGAACAAGGGCUGAGUUUGCACCAGGAAAGGUGCACAGGUGCCCUGUGCUGCAGAAAAUCGUGGCUGGAGGUGGAGGCACCUGUCCUUGGGCUUUGGAGCAGGAUGGGAUCUGGGGUGAGCCAGGAUUGGGUUUAUUGGAUGGGGUAAAACAGGACCUCGGUUCCUCUGCAGAAACAACAUUAAUUUGAAAUACAGCAAGUGCUGAUGGAGCAGUAGGGAAUGGUGCUCUAAUGUUCAGUGGGGUGACAAUUUCCCAGUGUUUUCCUGGGAUGCCCACAGCAUCCUUCACCCCUUUUCUUCGUUCAGGGAAAUCCUUGACAAAGAAGUGUUGGCACAGGGCAGAGUUGUGCAAACAAGGCUGGACCAGGAACACCUGGGAUUUCUUCCUCACUGCCCAUCACCAUCUUCCAGUGCUUUAUUUUUAGUAUUUUCUGUAAAAAAAAGAAAGAAAAAAC